rnacentral:tRNA from 1 species
GGACCCGUAGCUCAGCUGGAUAGAGCGUCGCCCUCCGAAGGCGAAGGUCGGAGGUUCGAAUCCUCUCGGGUCCGCCA